rnacentral:rRNA from 3 species
GCAAUGGCAUAAGCCAGCUUGACUGCGAGCGUGACGGCGCGAGCAGGUGCGAAAGCAGGUCAUAGUGAUCCGGUGGUUCUGAAUGGAAGGGCCAUCGCUCAACGGAUAAAAGGUACUCCGGGGAUAACAGGCUGAUACCGCCCAAGAGUUCAUAUCGACGGCGGUGUUUGGCACCUCGAUGUCGGCUCAUCACAUCCUGGGGCUGAAGUAGGUCCCAAGGGUAUGGCUGUUCGCCAUUUAAAGUGGUACGCGAGCUGGGUUUAGAACGUCGUGAGACAGUUCGGUCCCUAUCUGCCGUGGGCGCUGGAGAACUGAGGGGGGCUGCUCCUAGUACGAGAGGACCGGAGUGGACGCAUCACUGGUGUUCGGGUUGUCAUGCCAAUGGCACUGCCCGGUAGCUAAAUGCGGAAGAGAUAAGUGCUGAAAGCAUCUAAGCACGAAACUUGCCCCGA